rnacentral:misc_RNA from 1 species
CAAGGUUGGAGUCUGAAUUCAACAUAGAAGAGGCUGAAAGGAUGAUUAAAGUGGCUCUUUUAUGCACCAAUGCAUCGUCAAUGCUAAGGCCAACAAUGUCAGCUGCACUGAGUAUGCUUGAAGGGGAAACAAGUAUUGAGGAAGUCACUUCAGAUCCUAGCAUUUAUGAUGAUGACAUGAGAUUUAAACCCUUAAAGGACCAUUACCAGCAGAUGCAACGCCAGAGUUCAGGCAGAAGCCAAGCACCG